UACGUAGGGUGCGAGCGUUGUCCGGAAUUACUGGGCGUAAAGAGCUCGUAGGUGGUUUGUCGCGUUGUUCGUGAAAACUCACAGCUCAACUGUGGGCGUGCGGGCGAUACGGGCAGACUAGAGUACUGCAGGGGAGACUGGAAUUCCUGGUGUAGCGGUGGAAUGCGCAGAUAUCAGGAGGAACACCGGUGGCGAAGGCGGGUCUCUGGGCAGUGACUGACGCUGAGGAGCGAAAGCGUGGGGAGCGAACAGG
rnacentral:rRNA from 1 species